CUUGGUCAUUUAGAGGAAGUAAAAGUCGUAACAAGGUCUCCGUUGGUGAACCAGCGGAGGGAUCAUUACCGAGUUUACAACUCCCAAACCCCUGUGAACAUACCUUAAUGUUGCCUCGGCGGAUCAGCCCGCGCCCCGUAAAACGGGACGGCCCGCCAGAGGACCCAAACUCUAAUGUUUCUUAUUGUAACUUCUGAGUAAAACAAACAAAUAAAUCAAAACUUUCAACAACGGAUCUCUUGGUUCUGGCAUCGAUGAAGAACGCAGCGAAAUGCGAUAAGUAAUGUGAAUUGCAGAAUUCAGUGAAUCAUCGAAUCUUUGAACGCACAUUGCGCCCGCCGGCACUCCGGCGGGCAUGCCUGUCCGAGCGUCAUUUCAACCCUCAGGCCCACCCUUCCGGGGGAGCGGGCCUGGUGCUGGGGAUCGGCGGCCCUCGCGGCCCCCGUCCCUCAAAUACAGUGGCGGUCGCGCCGCAGCCUCCCCUGCGUAGUAGCACAACCUCGCACCGGAGAGCGGAACGACCACGCCGUGAAACCCCCAAUUUUUUAAGGUUGACCUCGGAUCAGGUAGGAAUACCCGCUGAACUUAAGCAUAUCAAUAAGCGGAGGAAAAGAAACCAACAGGGAUUGCCUCAGUAACGGCGAGUGAAGCGGCAACAGCUCAAAUUUGAAAUCUGGCCUCACGGUCCGAGUUGUAAUUUGUAGAGGAUGCUUUUGGCAAGGUGCUUUCCGAGUUCCCUGGAACGGGACGCCAUAGAGGGUGAGAGCCCCGUACGGUAAGACCACCGAGCCUCUGUAAAGCUCCUUCGACGAGUCGAGUUGUUUGGGAAU
rnacentral:sRNA from 1 species